UUAAACCUCUUUGGUUGAAAAUGAAAAUUGUGUCCUCAAGAAAGAAUUAACGUAUGUGAAUAUGUAGAAAGCUAUUAGAGACUAAGUUUCUCUUAUAUAUGUGUGUCUCUGUCUGUGCAUAACAGGUGUUCAAAGCAAUUCCCAUAAACAAAGUUCAUGGGCAAGAAAGGAGGGGCAAAAAAAUCGGAGUCUGUAUCUCACGCUCCAAUAUCAUUAAGGGAAGAGGUCACCGGAAAACUACAAACGAAGGCAGCCUCUGAGACCAAGUCAAAAUUGAGAUUUGAGCACUUGAAAAACCUUGCAGUGUGGGCCACCACCAAUGACCCUCCCAUACACUCUCUGGGCGCCUUCUAUGGACACCAAUUUGCCACCUUUGGAGAGUCAAUUGGAGUACCACCUGAUAAUUCUCUAAUAAUUUGCCAAAGAUGUAAAACUGUUCUUCAACCUGGCUUUAAUUCAACUGUAAGAAUUGAGAAGAGUAAGUUGAAGGUCAGGCGUAAGCAAAAGAAGUCUGGUAACAUUACUCAAAACAACGUAGUGUACAGGUGUCAUCAUUGUUUGCAUCAGAAUCUAAAGAGAGGGACACAUAAAAGGAAUCUGUCCGUCAAAAGUUAAAUCAUCAUUAGAGUCAACACCUCCAUCAAAAUCCAUUGUAAGUGAUUCUUGUAAAAUAGAGAAAGGCAUUGCAAGUAAAGAUGGAAUCAAUGAAAUAAAUGUGUUUCCUUCCCGAGGGGCCAAAACUCAAUCUACUUCGUCGAGUACAAAUACAAAAACUUUGUUAGAAGGAAAGAGGAGAAGGCAAGAUAGUCCCCUGUCCAAUGAUAUUAUUAAAACUACAAACAUGUCUGGAAAAGGAGCAAAUCCUGUGAGUACAUCCAUCAAAAGACGAAGAAAAUCUUGGAUGAGUUUAAAGGAAAUUGCUCAGAGCAAAGAGCAUAAGAACAGUCAGAUUGGUAAUUUGACAAUCCCAGUCUUUCUGUAAAUAGGGAAAUUUCCUGUGUUGGUUAAAUUCAAUUGUAUGUUUUACAUGAUGCCUGCUGGCCUUAUACUUCAAUUGCUGCUUCUACCUAAAUUGUCUUUACUGAUGCCCUGUUAGAGUCCUGUUCUCCUGUUUCCUAAGUCAUGUAUAAAUAGGUAUAAUAGUUAAAUAUAAUCAAGUAUUAUAUAAUAAGAUAUUAUGUAAUAUAUUGG